rnacentral:lncRNA from 1 species
AUGCAUUUCACUCUGAAAUAUGUCAUCAUAUAUAGCGCAAGAAGGACAAUCUCCUACAUAAUCAUACUACGACCAACGCCCCCAAGAAAUUUAACAUUGACAAUAAUAACAUCACUGUAUGAUGCAUAGUCUACACUCACAUUUCCCCAAUUGUCCCAAUAAUGAUUUUACGAUUUCUUUUUGUCCAAGAUUCAACUAAGGGUCAUGCACUGCGUUUGGUUGGCGCGUCUCUUUCACCUCCUUUCAUCUAGAAUGGUCUCCCACCCGUUUUCCCUCCAUGACAUUGACAUUUCUUAAUAGGUCAGAGCAGUUGUCUUGUACAACAUCCUAUUAUCUGGAUUUGCUAAUUUUCUCUUCAUAAUUGGAUUCAUGGUUGGAUCCAGGUUUAACAUUUUUGGGAGGACUAUGACGUAGGUGCUGUUGAGUACUUGCCGUUGUUUCACGUCAGGAGGUAUAUAUUGUCGACCUGUUCCGUUAUAGGUGAUGAUAAAUGUGAUCGCUUGAUUACGAUGGUACCCACCAGCUCUCUUCCCCACGAAGAUGAUUUUUCCCUAUUCAAAUAAUCAGCUUUCAGUGAGAAAAUGUGAAAGUGCCACUGUGGAGCCCUGGAACAGGUGCCAUCCUCAGGUCUGUAGCAGAGGAAGCUGGGGACAUCGAAACUUCCCGUUUGCCCCCAUUUCAUAUUUCACGGCACCUCCGCUGAGAAAACGAGCCUCUGCCACGUCAUAGGUAGUCCAGGUGUCCAGGAAGAUGAGCUAAAGCCACCCUCCCAGGGUGAGGCGACUAGUACACGGUGGAGCCAGGAUGGAAACUGAGGCGGGUUUGGAGGCAGAGCCAUCGCUGUGUGUGGAAGAGACUAUUCUGGAACACUCAUGUAGGAGCCUUUCCCUCUGCUCUGCUCAGCAACACUGAAGAUGACGCCUAUGAGCUAGUGUUAAGACAAAUGAACAAAAUGACCUGAUGCGCAAACUGAUGUAGAGAAAAACUACACGAGCUGGCUAUUGUGAUCCAUCCAUCUUCACAGUCUAGCUGAGUGGAUCUACCCUUCUCACCCAACACACACUCACUCACACAUGCAAACUCAUUCACACCCGCAUACACUCAGACACGUACACAUUUGUUCACACACUCACUCUCGCACACUCAUGCACUUGCUCACAUCACACACACAUAUUUGCUCUCACACACUCUCCAUGCUGUGGUCAUAUUGCGCCUCCUUUCCCAGGCUGCCCCUGGAGCAUUUUCACCUGCCCUCGGGUAUAACAGGAGUGCUGAUGGAAGGGUCCCCAGGUUGGGAUGGCCCUCCGUGUGCCCACGCUCCAUCUCCUGCAGCCACCUCCUGCUUCCUAGGUAGGACCUCUCUGAAAUCCAGGCCCCUGGUCCUAGGGGAUCUCCAUUUGAAAUUAAGAAAUUAGGAGUUUAAGAGUCUGGCAUUUAUCUCAAUACCACUAAACUGACUGUGGAGGACAGACUGCAAGAUGCCCCUGUGACCCCACCUCAUGCUUUCACUCCUUUGUGUGGCCCCCUCCUCUGAGUGUGGGUGGGACCUGUAACUCGGCUUCUAACCCAUGGAUUAUGGCAAAGGUGAUGGAUGUCGGUGUCGCGGUCACGUGACAUUAGAUAAUUCUCUGUCUCUCUGGGCAGAGAUGCUCUUGGCUGGCCUGAAGUAAGAACAAUGGUGGGAAGCCCAAAUGGACAUGGAGACCUGCAGGUGACCUCUAGGGUCUGGGUGGCCUCCACCCAGCCAGGAGCCGCAGCCCCCAGUCCUGCAGCCACAAGGAGAUGCAUCUGCCAGCCUGGGUGACUUUAGAGCGCAUCCUUCCCAGCGGAGCCUCAGACGAGAGUGCAGCUAGGCUGACACCCUAAACGCAGCCUGGGGACCCUGAGCAGAAGACCCCGCUGAGUCAUGCCCACGCUCCUGACCACAGAAGCUGUCAGAUAAUAAGCAGGUGACAGUGCACCGUCCCCAAUGCAAUCCUGGCAAGAGCCCCCUCGGGGAAUGAGGCUCAGAGAGGAUGAAAGGCUGGUCUGAAGUCAGAUGGCUGGGAAGGAAAUGGAAGCUCGGGACGCCUCCUCAAGCCUCCAGCCAAGUUCUCUGUCACUGCUGAUCUCCUUGGCACGAUGACACGUCUGAUCAGGCACACCGGAGAACGCCCACUUUGGCUUCAGAAGGGUCUACCUCCCACUCCCACCUGGAUUCAACUCUCGACCCCAUCCACGAGAGACCUAUUACCAGGAUUUCUUCUUGUAGGUGGGCUGAUGUGGAAACGUGGGGAGGACGGGGGAACAGUAAGAGGGAUGCUGGCCAGCAGAUCCCUGCCUGGGUGCCUACAGUCGGACACUUUGAACAGGCCCUCGGGACUGGAAGAAAUCAUGCACUGCAGGCGCUCCCCUCUUCCAGAAUCUAAAAGCACAGUGCAGAAGCAAACCAACCCCAUCACCUAUCACCCUGUGGCAGUCCCUUGAUAAUGAUCCAAGAAAAUCCAUUUCCGUUGAAGGAUGCAUUGGAGAACUCGCCCUGUUCUCAAGGGCCACCAGCCGGAAGCAGAGCAGGUGAGAGACUGAGUUCUUGCUCUUUUUGCUCUGUUUCGCUGCUUCUGUCCUUUAGUUCUUGGCAGGGAGGGCAGAGGAACCAGAACCUCUUGGGGAGCCCACAGUCAGGGACAAGGUCUUACUGCAUGCCGAGGGCCAGGGGUGGCUCAGGCAUGACUGUCUGUCUUGGCAGAGUCAGGAAAGGUGACACUAAGAGGAGCAGACCCGUCUCCUGGCUGCUGUUCUCACAGAGGGUCCUAGGACCGCCCUGGCACACAAGUGCUCCAAGUCAUAAGCAGUGUGCACAGCGGGGGAGGCCAGGCCUCUACUGCAGCUCAGGAGAGGGCGGGCACCAGCUGCUGAACCAGGGUCCUCCUCCGGCCAGUAGGGAAUGCAAUGAUGCUUCGAAUAAGGCCUCUCUGUGGAUGGACAGCACCUGCGUGUUGGGCAAGGUGGAAUGUUAAUAACCUUGACCCCAGAUGGAAAUCUGCAAGGGUCAGACUCUGCCACACCCUUGGAGGCCUAUGUCUGACUGAGCUCCUACUGAGCUUUGGGCCACUUAGGCCCCUCCAUUGCUUUUUCAUCUGAAGACACAGGAAGGGUCAAGCCUCCAUCUUCUGAGAAUCAAUGGCCAAGGGGCACGGAGCGGGGAGAGGCUGGUUUUUAUCAUGAAUCUAUGAUUUUAUUUUCCACUGAACAUCACAAGAAUGGACCCUCUGAACCACCGCUCUUGCUGCUGCUGCUGCUGAUGAGCUCUGUUCUCCGUCACUGAAGAUCCAUCUUGUCCAUGUGAUAAGAAAUACAGCCCACGAAGCCUUGCAAGUCUGACCUUGUGUGGCCUUUGUUGCCCAAGAGGCAACAUACUCUCUGGUGCAAAGUUCAAUGUCCUGGGGAAGGGUUCCAGCUGAGCUAGCUGGGCUUGGCUUCUCACCUGGACCAAUCGGCUAGUGCCAGGGGGCAGGACCAUGAAGAACAUGGCAUCUCCAUCCUGCCAUGUUGGUGAAGCAGGAAGAAUAAGGGGGAAGCUUCUCCCAGAAGAACAGCUACACUGGAUAAGUGAAAAAUAAAUGUCUGUUCUAAGCAGUCUCUACAUCUCGCCUCCACUUCCUCACGCGAACUUACCCUCAACCACUUGCAAUCUAAUUUUUGCUCCCGCCACUCUACUGAGGCAGCUUUCUAAGUAAUCAACAGUGAUUUCAUAAUUAAUAAACCUGAUUGUCCCCUAGGAACUCCCAGUAUAAGAGUUGUCAACAUGGGGCUGGUUCUAGUUACAGCGCCCACUGCAGCAGAGGCCUCUUGGGUUUGUCUGUCCAACCUGGGAACCAAUGACCACCCUCUUCCCUGGAAACUUCCAUUUCUCCCAUAAAUAGGGGUGGGACAUGAUGCUUGUGUUAAAACCAUGUCAACCCAUCCCCUUGGUCACAGUUGAUUAAACCCAGGAUAAAUCUGACUUUAGCUUAGCCAAUCAAAUUGCAGGAAUUUGGAACUGAGAAUGUCAAUUGUUUGAGUGACUACACC